rnacentral:rRNA from 1 species
GAUGAACGCUAGCUACAGGCUUAACACAUGCAAGUCGAGGGGUAACGAGAGGAAAGCUUGCUUUCCUUGUCGACGACCGGCGCACGGGUGAGUAACGCGUAUCCAACCUGCCCCCAACUAGGGAAUAACCUUGCGAAAGUAAGACUAAUACCCUAUAAUUUCCUCAGAUGUCAUCGGACGAGGAAUAAAGAUUUAUCGGUUGUGGAUGGGGAUGCGUCGAAUUAGGUUGUUGGCGGGGGAACGGCCCACCAAGGCAACGAUCGGUAGGGGUUCUGGAGGUACGGUCCCCCACAGUGGAACUGCGACACCGUCCAAACUCCUCCUGGAGGAAGCAGUGCGGAAUAUUUGUCAAUGGGCGGAAGCCUGCACCAGCCAAGUAGCGUGCAGGAUGACUGCCCUAUUGGUUGUAAACUGCUUUUAUACAGGAAUAAAGUUAGCCACGUGUGGUUAUUUGGAGGUACUGUAUGAAUAAGGACCGGCUAAUUCCGUGCCAGCCGCCGCCGUAA